rnacentral:rRNA from 1 species
AGCGAACGCUGGCGGCAGGCUUAACACAUGCAAGUCGAACGCAUCCUUCGGGAUGAGUGGCAGACGGGUGAGUAACGCGUGGGAACGUGCCCUCCGGUUCGGGAUAACCCAGGGAAACUUGGGCUAAUACCGGAUACGUGCUUAUGGCAGAAAGGUUUACUGCCGGAGGAUCGGCCCGCGUCUGAUUAGCUAGUUGGUGGGGUAACGGCCUACCAAGGCUGCGAUCAGUAGCUGGUCUGAGAGGAUGAUCAGCCACACUGGGACUGAGACACGGCCCAGCCUCCUACGGGGGGCAGCAGUGGGGAAUGUUGGACAAUGGGCGCAAGCUUGAUCCAGCCAUGCCGCGUGAGUGAUGAAGGCCUUAGGGUUGUAAAGCUCUUUUACCCGGGACGAUAAUGACGGUACCGGGAGAAUAAGCCCCGGCUAACUUCGUGCCAGCAGCCGCCGUAA